rnacentral:lncRNA from 1 species
AACGACGAGAUCAUAAGCUUGAUUGAAGAUCUAUCUGGACCAUCUCAAGUGUCAAAUACUCUAACUGAAAACCUAUAUCAAGUUACUGAUGGUCAAGUGCUUAAUUCAUUUGGUUCUGGUGAUUCUCAGUUUGAAAAUGCUACUGAGGUUGAGGUUGAAGUUGAGCAUGGAAAAAAGAGGGAAAAAAAGACCUCAAAAACAUAGGAGGAGUUUAUUAUUGUGAC